rnacentral:snRNA from 1 species
AGCUUGGCGCAGUGGCAGUAUCGUAGCCAAUGAGGUUUAUCCAAGGCGCGAUUAUUGCUAAUUAAAAUGAAAUGCAAACCAUAGAUGUAAUCUUAAAUUUUUUAGGGGCCACAUUUUAAAAAGUAAAAAGAAGCAGGUGAAAUUAAUUUUAAU